UACGUAGGGGGGCAAGCGUUUGUCCGGAUUUAUUGGGCGUAAAGAGCGUGUAGGCGGCCACACAGGUCAGCUGUGAAAACUCGAGGCUCAACCUCGAGACGUCGGUUGAAACCGUAUGGCUAGAGUCCGGAAGAGGAGAGUGGAAUUCCAGGUGUAGCGGUGAAAUGCGCAGAUAUCUGGAGGAACACCAGUGGCGAAGGCGAUCAUCUGGGGGCUGUUCUGACGCUGAGGAGCGAAAGCUAGGGGAGCAAACGGG
rnacentral:rRNA from 1 species